UGUGAUGGACCCUGCUCUGUGUGGCCACACAACAGGUGGACAGUAAACUAUGUCCAAUCAAA
rnacentral:ncRNA from 1 species